GACAGCGGCGAGCUGCCGGCCCCCGGUGCUGCGAGGGGCCGCUGUGCCCAGCUCCGGCCGGUACCGGUCUCAAAGUGCUUACUGAAUUCUUUCUGCCAAGUUUCCUCCCAGAACAUCGAAUAAGUGUCUGAUAACAGUUUUCGAACUGAUGUUAACAGCUGUUUCUGAACUUCAGUCCCAGGCUGCUUGUGCUAAGAAGCCACUGCAGCCACCCACCCUUGGCGUUCAUCUCCAUGCAGCAGUAGGUAUCCAGACGGAGAGGGGAGACAAACUUAUUUCUGCUGGUGGCCCUUGUUGUUUGCUUGUCCUCUGGGUUAAGGAAUAAAAAUUA